CGGGGUGAUCUCGGGUUACGCAGAAUGGUAAGGAGAUUCUGCUCAACGUGUGGCACCUGUCGUGUUAUUCGCGAAAUUACAAACCGAGUGAUUUGGUUUUAUUUGAAAGUUCACAUUCGGGUAAAAGAUGAAGGUAUUAUGAUUACAACAACUGGAACAUGUUCGUCGUCACAUGUGAAACAAAUAUUCCAAAAAGUUUAUUUUUCAAUUAGUGCGAGGUAGAUCU
rnacentral:lncRNA from 1 species